rnacentral:rRNA from 1 species
UACAGAGGUCUCAAGCGUUGUUCGGAUUCAUUGGGCGUAAAGGGUGCGUAGGUGGCGCUGUAAGUCGGGUGUGAAAUUUCGGAGCUUAACUCCGAAACUGCAUUCGAUACUGCGGUGCUUGAGGACUGGAGAGGAGACUGGAAUUCCCGGUGUAGCGGUGAAAUGCGCAGAUAUCGGGAGGAACACCAGCGGCGAAGGCGGCACUCUGGGCUGGAACUGACGCUGAGGAGCGAAAGCGUGGGUAGCAAACAGG